GACAGAGGGUGCAAACGUUGUUCGGAAUUACUGGGCGUAAAGCGCGUGUAGGCUGCUUGGAAAGUCGGAUGUGAAAGCCCCGGGCUCAACCUGGGAAGUGCAUUCGAAACUUCCGAGCUGGAGUCCUGGAGAGGAAGGCGGAAUUCUCGGUGUAGAGGUGAAAUUCGUAGAUAUCAGGAGGAACACCGGCGGCGAAGGCGGCACUCUGGGCCGGUACUGACGCUGAGGAGCGAAAGCGUGGGUAGCAAACAGG
rnacentral:rRNA from 1 species